ensembl:lncRNA
UUAAAAGCAUAAAUUCCCAGCACUGCUUCUCACCUCUCUGAAGAAGAAGAUCCUGGGAAACUGGCCUUUUCUGGAUUCCCUAGAGAAAAGAGUAAGAGUCAAACGCUUCAUGGUAGAGCCUUAAUGAGAGGCACAAUUUUUGGGCAACACAACUUAGGAACAAGGGGAAGGAAGGAAGGGAAGGAGGGAGGAAGGAAGGGAGAAUGCAAGGUCAUGCAUUAUGACCUAUGAAGCUGACUACAGCUUCACAAGAAAACAGCUAGUUACUUGGUUAGACAAAAGUCUUCUCUAAAUGUUACACAUACUCACCAUGUCUUGGAAUGGUCUACUGAGAGGUUCACUAAAUUAUAUGUAGAAUAACAAUUCCUCAACAUGAAGAAAUGCAUGCAGAAGUCGGGAACACUGGCACAGCUCAGGAGGCUGAGAGGGAGGAUUGUUUGAGUUCAGGAGUUCAAGGUCAUCCCCAGAGACAUAACAAGAUUCAUUUUCAAGGGAAAAACACCAAUUCACAGAAUUUGAAGGUUAUAAGGAAUCAUAGCUACUUGAAGAAAUGUCAGAUUUCAUGUCUGUGGCAGAAAAUAUACAGAAUGAACCAGAAGCAUCUUAUAUAGGAAAUUAAAAACAACUAUCCAAUAUUACUGUAGGAGGCAUGUGUCAGUUUAAGCAUCAAAAAGAACAGUAACUUCACUGGACUGGAAGACAUCAUGUAUAUUCAUGGAUUCAUAAAGAUAUAUAAAGCAAUGAAAAAACAGAAUUUUUUGAUCAAUUUUGAAGAAUGCCAAGGAAUUACCUCAUUAUUCUGAAUGCUGAUAAAUAAAAGCAAACAGGGUCUCAUUAAGUCACUAAGUUGCCCAGGCUGGUCUAGGAAGUUGAGUCCUCCUGCCUCAGCCUCCUAGAGUGCUGGAAUUAUAGGAACCAUCCUGAACCAUGAAUGGUCCGUGGCAUGUCAGGAAUGAAGCAGCACAGUGGAUGUGAAGGCAGGAGAGCAGAUUGGAGCUUCAUCUGUAUUUCCAGUACUCCCCAGUGCUCACUUUACAUCAGCUGUGGCAUUAGAUUCUCAUAGGAGCAAGACCCCUACUAUGAACUGAGGGAUCUAGUUUUCAUGCUCCUUUGAAUAAUCCCUAAACCACCUCCCUUUUUUCCCCAUCUAUGGAAAUAUUGUCUUCCACAAAACUGGUCCCUGAUGCCAAAAAGGCUGGAGACUGUGGUCCUAAAC